rnacentral:rRNA from 1 species
CACGUAGGGGGCGAGCGUUGUCCGGAUUUAUUGGGCGUAAAGAGCUCGUAGGUGGCUUAGUAAGUCGGGUGUGAAACCUCCAGGCUUAACCUGGAGACGCCAUCCGAUACUGCUAUAGCUUGAGUCCGGUAGGGGAGCGUGGAAUUCCUGGUGUAGCGGUGAAAUGCGCAGAUAUCAGGAGAACACCCGGUGGCGAAGGCGGUCUCUGGCGGA